GGCUUUCUAUUAUAUUGUGUAUGUUUGAUUUCCAAUCAAGAGGUUAAAGGGUCA
rnacentral:tRNA from 1 species